AUCGCUUCUCGGCCUUUUGGCUAAGAUCAAGUGUAGUAUCAAAAUCAUCCCUACAUCCUAA
ensembl:snRNA LOC120102115 U2 spliceosomal RNA